CACUUACGUCAGGGCGCUUCCGUCUCACACCUCACUUUGCCUCACCACGGAGGCACCCCCGCGGUCACAAGAAGGUUUCUUCAGGUCAGAACUUCAGACACAGCAUAGUGGGAUGGAUUGUCUCUGUCCUAUGAUGACUGUGUGACUUAGCUGGAAGACUUCACAGCUGGGGACUGGAAUGAUCUGAAGACUCAUCCACCCGUAUGUUUGGUUGUUGAUGCUGGCUGUCAGGUCCUCAGUAAGGCAAAGUUCUGCACCCCAGCGGAUCUAGAUCCAAAUUGCACAGCUCCUGUUGUAG